rnacentral:lncRNA from 1 species
ACCACAUUCAGCACCCAUGCAUUUAAACCCUUGACCCAAACCACAAAGAAAAAAGAAAAGAAACUAAACCGGGCGUGGUGGCGCAUGCCUUUAAUCCAAGCAAGAGGCAGGCAGAUUUCUGAGUUCGAGGCCAGCCUGGUCUACAAAGUGAGUUCCAGGACAGCCAAGACUAUACAGAGAAACCCUGUCUCGAAAAAAACAAACAAACAAACAAACAAAAAGAGGUAUAGGUCCUUGAUGCCAAGGCUGAUGACCUGAGUUUGAGUCUCAGGACCCACAGGGGCUGGAUAUAUGGCUUAGGGGCUUAGAGCACUUGUGACUUUUGCAAAGAGCCUAGAUUUGGUACCCAGAAUGUACCUGAAGGCUCACGGGCAUUCAUAACUCCAGCUCCAGGGUGUCUGACUUACUCUUGGAAAGAGAGAACUGACCUGCAAGUUGUCCUCUGACCGCCACAUAUGUGCUGUGAUAUACAUAUACACACCCACACAAAUAUAAGUAAGUUCGUAAAUAAAUAAAUGGCAUAAGCUGUCCUGGAACACACUCUGUAGACCAGGCUGGCCUCGAACUCAGAAAUCCACCUGCCUCUGCCUCCCGAGUGCUGGGAUUACAGGCGUGCGCCACCACUGCCCGGCUGGCAUAAGCAUUUUUAAAGCAAAAAUGAAUACAAUGAUCUAACAGACUUCUGAAUGGUAAAAUGGGGUGAUAGCAAGUGCCUGCCUUACUGAGUGUUCCACAACUGACACAGGAUAGCUCCAGGGCAUGGGGUUCCACCUUCCCAGACCUAACACUCAUGAUAUCCUUCUGUUUCUUUCCCAAACAGCCUGGGGGCAAAGGGAAGCGGCUUCCUGAGGUUUAUUGCAUUGUGAGCCGCCUGGGAUGCUUCAGCCUCUUUUCAAAGGUGAGCACUUGCCCAGAGAGUGGAAGACAGGGCAAGCCCUAAGAGACCCAGGAAGCAGCACCCAUCUGCAGGAGCACCCCAUCUGCAGCAGCACCCAUCCACAGCUGCAACCCACCUCCUGCUGCUUAUUUAUUUAUUUAUCUAUCUAUCUAUCUAUUUAUUUAUUAUGUAUGCUCUGUAUGCAUGCAGGCCAGAAGAGGGCACCAGACCUCCUUAUAGAGAGUUAUGAGCCGCCAUGUGGUUGCUGGGAAUUGAACUCAGAACCUCUGGAAGAGCGGCCAGGGCUCUUAACUUCUGAGCCAUCUCUCCAGCUCCAUCUGUUGCUUUCAAUCUUAGUAUUUUACUCCCCAUUUCUUUGCUCUCUCCUCACUUCUCCUUUUUUUUAAAGAUGUAUUUAUUUAUUUUAUAUACAUGAGUACACUGUAGCUGUACAGAUGGUUGUGAGCCAUCAUGUGGCUGCUGGGAAUUUGAAUUCAGGACCUCUGCUCACUCCAGUCGACCCUGCUAUCUCUGGCCUAGAGAUUUAUUUAUUAUUAUACAUAAGUACACUGUAGCUGUCUUCAGACACACCAGAAGAGGGCAUCAGAUCCCAUUACAGAUGGUUGUGAGCCAUCAUGUGGUUGCUGGGAUUUGAACUCAGGACCUUUGAAAGAGCAGUCAGUGCUCUUAACUGCUGAGCCAUCUCUCCAGCCCCAUCUCUUCCCUUCUUCUUUUAUUUUUUUUUCUUUUUCCAAUUUUUUAUAGGUAUUUUCUUCAUUUACAUUUCAAGUGCUAUCCCAAAAGUCCCCCAUACCCUCCUCCCCCAUCUCUUCACUUCUUAUCUGUGUCUCUCAUCACUAGUUUAAGGAAUAAGAGUUAGUGAAGGGUGUGUCCAGAGUGGCUCCUAGAAGAACCGGUAUCCUGAAGAAGAGACAGACCCAGAGAAAGGAACAAAGGGGUCAGAGUUGUAGCUCAGUCCCUAUUAAUGCACAUAGCCGAGG